UGGCAAGGCUAUUCCGUCUAACUACACCAUUGCAAAGCAAUUGCAGUCCCUAAGAAAAGUAAUGCCGUCAAGGAUUACGAAAGAACAUGAUACAUCUUCUUAUCUUGGACGAAACUAUGAUCAAUGACUGCAGUAUUGAUUCGUCCUGUAUAUGGACAUUGUUAGGUAGCCCUCAUUUAAUAGAUAUGAAAGAUGUCAGAAGACUGAAAAUUGAACAAUUCAAGUCAAAAGUGUUUACAACCAUUUUGGCUUGUUAUGUUUAGAACGAUUCAAUAAUGAUGACGACUGAUUAUUAUCUUAUUUACCUAACUAUGUUAUAUUAUAUCAUUAACUAAUAAUCAAUAUAUUGAAUAUACAACGUUAAGGUAAAUCCCAUAUUUAUAAUGAUUCUUCUCUCCCAGUACAUAGUGAUAGAGAGAGAGCGACGUUCUAACCUGUUUAGUAAACUACUAAAACCCAAACAUGGCUCAGAUUUCUGUGGCAAGAGACUAAAGAUUUUCAUUAUCGAUGGCACAGGGAUCAAACACGAUUGAUUAAUACGCCGAGUACUUCAAUUCAGACUCAAUGAUAUGGAGGAAAACAGUGAUGCAAUCAAUAAAUAAACAGCAAUAACGAAUGAGGUCUCGACAAUUUUCGUGAGGUUAUCAUCAAUAAAACCAACACCGUACAGUCAAUUUACGAAACCCAAUAUUGAAAAAUAUAUUUAGUAUAUCUACCGAUAUUUGUUAUUUUCAUUAAUUAUCUUGCAUAUUCAUUGAGAUUCUCUUCAUAUUCCAUAAAUAAUUAUUCAUUCUAAAUACAGUCAAAAACUGUAUCGGUUAUGUAGUAAAAACUAAAUAUAAAUAAAUAAAAGAGUAAAGAUACAAUA
rnacentral:lncRNA from 1 species